ACAUCUGCUAGUUGUGACGUGUAUCACCAUGAACAUAACCUGAGGGUGUAUACAAGGUUUUGCAACACCUAAAGUGUUCCAGAUGUUUUCAUCGACCCAUAUUCCAUGUUAGAUAUGUCAGUGGGCCUAGCAUGUUAAAACUUAUCAUGCUCAACAGCAUCAAACCCUAACGAAAAAAUACAAACAAUGGAAGAACCUGAGAGUUAUCCUAUUGAUUCAGAGGAUGUGCGGGAGCAAAUAGAACAGCAAAGAACACUUGCCGCCCAGCUCCGAGAGAAAUUGGAGCAAGAUGAGCUCCAACUUGCAAGCAAAGAGCAACAGAAUGAGCUCCUCAAAUCUAAGCUCUCAUUACUUAAAUCACGCACAUCCAAAUCCAAACGAAAUGUCACCACUAAUGAGAAAGAUGAUAUAAAAUCUAAAAUUGCUAAUGAACAGAGCGGUUCUCCCAAGAAUCCUGGAAAAAAACAAACAAGCAAUUCAGCUUCAAAAGGAAAAAUUAACAUCUUGAGAGAACAGCUUGAGCAGAAUAGGCUCAGAUUUGAACGGCAUGGCCUAGAACUCUCAGAGGACACUCGUAGCAUGGAGGCUAUGGUAGAACAACUUCGACAUGAUCUUGAGGAAAGAGAUGUCACUAUACAGCAAUUGCAAGCAGGACAAGAACCACCUCUAACACCUAACUCUGAAGUUCAAGUUACACAACCCCGAGAUCUGCCCUCUCAGCUUUUUGAGAAAGAGCAAGAAGUAAUUAACUUGUCAGCUCACGUCACAGAACUCCAAAACACUAUUCUGGAGCUUCAAGAGAAUUUGAAAGAAAAAGAUUGUGUUAUAGAAGCAAGAACUCAAGCCAUCAGUCUCUUAUCAGAAGAUAUGUCAAAGAAAUGGAGAUCUAAUGUUGACAUGCUUGAAGAAACAAGACAGCAAAUGCAGAUGAUGCAAGAAAAUUUUGUUAGAAUUGAAGCUGGCUUGAAAGCUGAAAUUGAACAGCUAACUACACAACUUCAAAAUAACUCUACAAAACUCAGUCAAGCAGAGCAAAAUGUUAAAGAUGCUGAGACUGCUCGUAAUGAUCUAGUUUCAAAAAAUGCAGAGCUCCUUGAAGAAAUGAAGAAAUACCAUGAAACCCCCAAAACAAGUACAGGUUUAGAGGAGGCCAAUUUGAAAAUAAAAGAAUUAUCAGAAGCUCUCACUGAAGCUAAUAAGCUUACUGUCAAACUAAAAGCUGAACACAAGGCUAAGAUUAAAACACUUAACAAGCAAAUAGAUAGUUUGAGAAAGGAAUCUGAUUUAAGUGGUGAAUUGGUUCAACUUCAAAAUCACAUUGCAGAACUAGAGGAGGAGAAAGGUAAUCUACAGUUGCUUCUGCUUGAGAUUGAAGAGAGCACAGCUAUUCAAGAGCAAAAGAUAAAGGAACUGCAAACUCACAAUUUGGAACUUCAUAACCAAAAGGUUGAGGCUGAAAUGAAGCUUGUAGAAUGGGAAGAGCAGCAGUCAUCUAAUGAAAGCAUUGAACAGGACAUAGCUGAUAUGAAACUCAAACUGAAAGAUAAGGAUCUUGAAAUUCAAAACCUUAAAGAACAGAUCACCAACACUGAACUUUCCUCAAAGGCCGACGAUAUAACAUUAUAUUUGGAAAAACAGUUGGAAGAGGCUCAAAGUGCAAUCAAGGAAUGGGAAACUCGAUAUGAAAAUCUGGAGAAACAAUAUUGUGUCCAAGUUAACACCGAAUCACCUCUAAUUCAGCAUGAGCUAACUGUGCUUGAAGAGCACACACCAUCUGCACUCAGUCUUUUUGAAGAAAAACUUAAGCACAAAGUAGAUAUCCUAGAGCAGUCAGUACUUGACAAACAAUCCCAAGUUCAAGAACUUCAGGCAAUUGUACAAGCCAGUCUAGAAAAAAUUGAAAGGUUAACAUCUGCUAACAACACUGAAAAAGACUGUGAAAAUUGCAAUUCUUACAGUCAGCGUUUACUUGAUCAAGAAGCACAAUCAUCAGCUCUUCAGACUCACCUUAAAAAUUUGGAAGAUGAAAAUGAAAGUCUGAAGACACAAUACAGACAAGCUGAUGUACAAUUCACUGCAGCGCAGCCACCAUCACUUGCAGAGAGUGCUUCUGAAGUUGAAAGGCGGUUGAUUGAAGCCUCAGGAGAACUUGAUCUGAAAAAAGAAGAAUGUGCUCGUCUUGAAAGCAAGCUAAAAGCACAAGUAGAGAAGGUUAAAAAAUUAGCAGUUAAUCUGAAAGUUAAGACUGUUGCCAAUAAAGAACUUGAAGAAAGAGCUAACAAAUAUGAAACCAUGCUUCAGAGCAGCAAAAUUGAGUUUGAACAACUUGUUAGAGAAAAACAAGAUAUCUUGGAAAAAUGGCAGAUAGAAGUGUCUGAAAAAGAUACUAAUCUGAGUCAGGCAACAGAAGCACUGGCUUCAAGAGAGUUAGAAAUUCUCAAUCUUAGGGAAGAGUUAAGCACUGAAACUUCCGCUCUUAUUGAAAUUCAAGCUAAAUUUGAUGCAAUGCAAAGUCAUGCAGAAAGUCUACAGUCAUUAGCUGAUGAAAGGUUAGCAAUGUUGGAUAAUUUGAGUCGUAGUAAUGCCGAGCUGGACCAGCAAAUGGAAAUUGCUAAAUUUGUUGAGUUGCAGACAGAGCUUGCUUCAAUUCAAAAGCAGCUUGCUUUAGAAAGUGAAGAAAAACAAGCAGCCCUCAAUAAGCUUGAAAACUUUACAAAGCAGGCCAAGAUUAAGCUUGCAAAGGAAAAGAAGCUACGUUUGGAUCUGUUGCAAAAACAAGAGGAACUUCAAGCUCUUUUGACUGAAAAGAGUAAUACUCUUGACGAAGUUCAGAAUAAACAUACUAUGACUGUAGAUAAUUAUGAACAGGAACUUGGAAAGUUUGAUAGAUUGUUGAAGGAACAACAAGAUCAAGUAUCUAUUCUUCAUGAGCAGCUUGAGCAAGAGAAAAAUAAGCUCCAGUAUGCAAAUGAGACUGUUAAUACAGAGGAAGUUACUGAAGAAGCACAGGAUUUGCAAUCUCUUCUAUCGGCUGAGAGUUUCCAACGUGAGAUUGAAAAUCUGUGUGCCUCAACCAAUUACCCUUCACCAAUAGAUGUCCUUCCUAUUUUGCAAGAUGAGAAGGCCAACACAAUGAACGAGCUUGGUUAUUCAUUUGAAUUGCUACAUAGUCAAAUUGUUGCACGGCUCCAGAAUAGACCAGAUCUCCAUGCAGACCGAAAAUUGUUUGCAGAACUAAGAAACCUUGUGACAAGGGUCAUAAACCGCACAGCUGCUCUGGAAAAUAAAAUUAAGAGUAUUGUGUCCGAGAGUGACUCUCUCAUUCAAAGGAAACUUUUUGAUGCUGAAAAAAGUAUUGAGACACUAGAAAGUUCUCUCUCUGAAGCGAGAGCUGUUCUUGAUCAAAAGGAAGGGGAAAAGGUAAAACUUGAAGAUGAAGUUAACAAUUUCAAUAAAGAGCGGUGGGAUUUGUCUCAAAAGAUACAGGAAGAGAGUCAAAAAUCAUUAAGUCUGGAAACAAUGCUCAAUGAAUCAUAUGGCCAGAUUAAUACUCUUGUUCAAAGUACAUCCUCUCUUCAAGAUCAAAUAAGUGAGAAAGAUGCUUUAAUUCAGGACCUGCAAACUAAAUACCAGUCUAUUUUUGACCACUGUAAUGUAGUCCAGCAAGAACUUAGUAAUGCCAUGCAAGCAAAUCAUGACUUAAAAUCCAACAUAGAGGAAUUGAUGGGAGAUUGUGAAAUGUGGAAAUCAAAACUGCUCACGGCUGAGCAAGAGCUAAGUGAUGUCAGGCUAACAUGCACAGAAUUACAGGCUUCUUAUGGUAAUUCAACACAGAGGUGUGAAGUGUUGCAAAGACAAUUAGAUGAAACAUCUCAACAAAGUGUUGACACACAUAUGCUGCAUGAGAAAUCAGAGAAGGAAAGAGAGGAUCUCCAACAUCAGCUUGCAAAUUUGCAUCUUCAACUGAAUGAAUCAAUUCAACUCCGUACUGAUCUUCAGUUACAGCUUGAUAAGUCAUUGCAAGAAACAGAAGAAUUACAACACCAACUAGCAGAUGCUGCCAGUUCUAUUUCUCAUCUUCAACAAGAACUUCUAGACAAAACUGAAACACAUAGUAGUACAAACAUAGAGAGGAGUGGUCUGUUACCAGAUGCAAUCCCCUCAAUAACUUCAGCACGGGAGAAAGAACUUCAACAACAACUAAUUGAAAAGACAGCUGAAGUGGAAAACUAUCAGCGACGCCUCAUUCAGCUUCAAAUGGGAGCUUCUGACCCAGGAGCAGCAGCUACCUUUAGCUUCCAAACUGAUAGAGAUCAAGUUACUGAAGUCUUUGAUGCACCUGCGAAGGCAUCAUAUCAAGAAACUGGUAUUUCCGCUCAGAGCCAUCCUUCACAUUCUACCUCAAUAUUUGAUGCCUUUAAACCAGCAGCAUCCUUUUUUGAAACAUCACCAGAGCAAAGUAAUGAACUAGAAAUAAAACUUCAAACUCUGACCGAGCAACUAGAAACAUCGGUGUCAGAAAAGAAGUCUCUUGAGCUUGAAAUGCUCUCGUUGAGAAACAAUUUGGAUAGAGUCAAUGAAGAAUUAAAGGCAGCCAAGGAAGAAGUAGAAAGUAUGUAUCCUUCCCUAAGUAAACUUCAAUCACAAGUUUCAGAACUUACUAUUGCCUUAGAAGCUGCUCAGGCAUGUGCUGAACAAGAAAAAGAAAAUGUUCAGAAACUUGAACACAGUCUGGAAAAAAUGAAACGUAAAUUAGAAAAUGCACAAUUUGACAAGGAAAAGAUCGAGAAUGAACUGGAAAUUCGAGAUCAAAAGGAAGCAGACCAACGCCCAGAUAUACCACAGACGUUGGACACCCAUGUUUCUUCUUUACAAGACAGUGGAUCUGGAUUUAAUAAUGAAGAGGGUUACAACGAGAAUGAUGAGUCUGUCAUGGAAAGCAACAUGACUCAACUGGAAUCGGAAUUGAGAGGCAUGGUAAUGUCUCGGCAAGAAAGCUUGCUGAAACAGAAAGCGAUGGAAGGUUGUUGGGACACUGGUAAAGCUAAACCACCUCAUGCUCACAAGAAAGCGGAUGUAAAAGAAGGUGAUGAAAAGGGAAAAAGAGAUGAGUCUGCUGUUGAACUUGGCUCUCUCAAAAGUGAAGUUAGUGAUCUAAAAGAAAAACUCAUCCAGUUGGAGUCAGAAAAAAAUAGAGCAUUAUCUCAAAUUGAUAAGCUUCAAGCAGAGUUGCAGACAAUCUCACAAUCUGGAGCUCCAAGCUCAACUGAUCACACAGUGCUGUCCGUACCUGAUUCCUUCAUAAAUGAUGAUGACAGUUGGGGAUGGGGAGCUGAUAGUGCCCAUUUGGAAGUUCAACAUCAACAGCAGAAGAGUCAGAUUGAACCCACGUCAGGAGACGUAGAACAUGAACUGCAAAAGAAAAUUGAAUCAUUACAAUCAGAAUAUGAGUCUCUUGAAAGAGAGAAAAUCCAACUAGCCGAGGAUUUAAAGGCUUCUCAAAUACGGGCAGCAAAACUUACUAGAAAGCUACGAGACUUAAAAACCAAGUAUGAUGAGGUUUCAGACAAGAGUCGCUCCACUGACUCUCCAUUUGACAGCUUGGAUCAAGCUAUAGAAGAAGAGAGAAUGAAGCAAAUGCAAGGCUUAGAGAAGGAAUUAAAAGAAGUUCAAGCUGAAUUGAAUGCUUUUAAGGCAGAACGUGACAGACUGCAGAAACAAGUGGAAGUUUUCUCAUCAGCUAAUGAGCGUAUGCUUGAGAUCAAGGAACGUCAAGAUGUUGAGGUUGAAAUGUGGCAGAAACGAAGCAAAGAUCUUACUAAUCAAGUUCAAGCAAUGGAGUGGAGGAUAAGAGAGCUAGAGGAAGGCAAAGAAGAAAAGUCAGAGGUACCCACCGAAAACCUUUCAGCAGGUAAACCUUCGCCACCUACUGAACUUAACUCAACAGAAGUCGAUCAACUUUUAAAGGAAAAUCACACUUGGAACUCAAACUAUGAAAACCUGAUGCAAGAGUACCAGAAACUGCGGGCUCAAUGCCUUGCUGAGAGUGAGCAACGCACUCAGAUUGAUGCCCUUGUUGCUCAGCAGAAGGGCAUGAUUGAACGUCUGGAACAUGAAAAGACAUAUUUCCAAGAUGUUUAUGAUUCACUCAAAAUGGAUUAUGAAUCUGCUUGUGCCCAACUGGCCUCCAAAGACCAAGACGAAAGCACAGAACUUCUUUGCAAGAAAUGUGAAGAGCUUAAGGAAAAGUUGGUGUCUGCUGAACAACACUUGCAGGAAACUACUGCAGAGCUUCAAGCUGUUUCAUCUGACAAUGUAGAAUUUCAGGCACAAUGUAGUCAGUUGAAUGAUGCCAGGAAGGAACUGUUGCAACAAUUAGAACAGAGCCAAGAGAAAUUAGAGGCAAAUGCUCAAGAGAUCAGUCACUUGCAAGAAAAAAUUAGAGUCCUUGAAGAGAACUCAUUUAAAGAAACAGCAGUACCAAACGUUGCAUGUAAUCCUGUAUCUCUUCAAGAUGAAUUUAUUCAACGUGAAUCUAUUCCAGUAAAUUCACAUCCCAACAGCUCGAUUUUGAACUGGAGCAGUGUAGUGCCUAGGGCAGAAGAACAAUCCGCUGACGUAUUUGAAUCUAUUGCCAGCAGUAACACCCAAGCAUUGGAGGAACAACUCCUUCAAAAGGAAAAUGAAAUGCAGAAAGACAAGAGAAUGAUUGAGACUUUGAAACGGACCAUGGAGGAAUCUGGACAAGAGUGGAGCCAGCUCAUAGAAUACCACAAGAACCAGUUAGAGGCAGCCCAAACAACAAUCAACGGACUGCAAAUGCAGCUUGAGGAAUUGAAGCAAGAGACAAUUACUAAAAAUGAGUGCCAUGAUUUGGAGCACGUUUACAGUCAACAAGUUGAGAAAUGUCAGGAACUUGAAAGCAUAAUAUUUGCCAAGGAUAAAGAAAUUGAAACAUUGCAAAUCAAUUUGUCUGUAAAUGAAGAAUUAAAGAAAAAACUUGAUGAACAGUUACAUUUUAAGAAAGAUCAAGUUGAAAAACUUCUUUCAGAUAUAUCUCAACUGUCAGCUGGGCAAGUGUCCCUACUUGGCACGCAACCAUCACCAAAUGAUCAAGGAAGCAACACAACAUUGGUCAAGCCAGUUAAUGUUCCAGCCAUGAAUUCUAGUGACAAGAACUUGUCAAAUGAACUGGACCUUGCGCUCUAUAUGCUCCAUGAACGCGAUGUUCGAUGUGAGGAACUGACACUUGAGCUAACACAGCUUCUAGAAGAACGGGAUGGUCUCCAGCUUCGACUUAGUAAUGCCAUCCGCUCUAAUGAAGAACUUAGAGAGCGGUUAAAGCACCUCCUUUCUAAUCAGCCCAAUGACUUACCUGUGAAUCCUGCAUCAAUUAUUCAGAGGGUGGAUGAAGCUGAUGCUGGUCUUUCUCCCGAAAACAGCAUUACAGCUCUACCCCCUACAUUUAUCCCAAUAAACCCUGAGGCAUAUACUGUAAACCUCCAAAAUAAGCUCACUGAACUACGUAAGAUGGGAUACAGCCACGAUAAAAGCUUUAAGGAAGACAGUGAGUACAGACACCAGCAACAGAUGCGCCUUAUGUCCCCAAGCCCAACUUCUUCUUUGUCUGGAAAUGCUAGUGAAGUAGUCAAUGUCAGCAACGAGACCACUGCUGGUGCUGGGGUAGAUGUUGUUUCAACCCUCUCAAAUACUGACCCAAAUAAUGCUGAUCAAUCCUCUUCUAAUGAUUCUCAAGGCUCCAUCUUGGGUUGGUUAUGGGGGCGGAAUUGAGGUAGAUAACAGCUGAACCAAGUCAUCUGUCUGCAAUACAGCUUGCACCUGCAUAAUAUCAUGAAGAUAACAGGAGCUCACCAUCAUCAAAGUGAAAAGAAUAUUGGAGUUGUUAGAAUUUGUUUUAAAAAGUUCAUAGGUAUUGAAUUUGUGAAUUUGUUAAUAAGACUUUCAAUUACUAUAUCAUGUGCAUGUGUGAUUGUGUAUAAUUUGUGUAGUUUUAAGAAAUUGUAAACAUGUGGUUUUAUUGUAAAUUAUGUCCAUAUUUGUAUGAAUUUUGUUUUGGAACACCAACAUUUAAAUCACAGGAGUUCUUUUUGUAUUACUACUGAAAGUUGCUUACCGUUUUCAUUCAAAUCGAAGCUGUAGUUCUUUUUGAAGAUUCAAUGUUACUCUGCUCUUAUAAUUUUAUUUUGCUUGCAAAUCAGUCUUGUGUACAAAUGGGACCAGUGCAAUUUGCAAUACCAGUAAUUUUGUGGUUUGGUCAGAUAUUAUUCAUUUGCACUUUUAUUGUAUUUUUUGGGUACUUGAAUCAUUUUAAUUUUUAGUAUGUUACCGUAAGGUUCUUGAACUAUUCUGUGUACGUUGUCAUAUAAAACAAUCACUGAGAAUUGUGGACUAACGAAUAUGACUAAAAGAUGAUUUCUAACUAUUUUUAUAUAUUCAGAAUCAGGUACUGCAUAUACUAUACCAGCGUCUAUUAGGUUUAUUAAAUGAAAGAAAGAUUGCUGAAGGUGCUGAAGAAAGUGUUCCUCAACCUAUGAUUUCAAAAUCAAUGUGAUAUUUUAUGUGCAAGAUUUAGUCAAUUCAUUUGAGCAUUCUAUCUCCUGAUUUACUUUAUCUAUUAGAUAACUUUUGAAUUUUAGAUGUAAUGCGCUCUUAUUUAUGGUUACCAUUCUAGAUUCCUGAGUUCUUUUUGUUAAAUAGCUCUUUCUUGUUCAACCACAUGCCUAUCAAUGAAUCAUACGUAUGUAUGUAUAUAUAUAUGUAUGUAUGUAUGUAUGUAUGGUAUGUGUUAGAUGGGUGGCUAAACCUAGGAUUGACCAUACCAAUUUGGUUAUCCUAGGUCAAACUAUCUUCACUGCUAGCUGCUCUUAAAUUAAACCUAGAAUUGCAACAGAACUGAGGGAUUUUGCUGUGCAAAUUUUUAAUCCAAGUUCAAUACAGUCUAUUUCCCCCCACAAUGUUUGUUGGAGUCGCAUAUGCUGUUGCAUUUAACAAAGCAGCAAGUGCAAGUCCAACAACAGCAAAUGCCACUCUAGCACAUCUUCUGGGGGAAAAUGUUGUAAUCUGUCCUUUUCAGUCUUCCACUCCCGCAACAAAAACCAAAAACCAAAACAGAAACGUAUAAAAAAUACAAAGCACUUUUUAUUCUAUUAAUUCUGUUGCAUUUUGAAGUCUAACUUAUGUGUUGAUUACACUCAACUUUCUGGACCUAGGAAUAGACAGCAGUGAAAGUGGGUAUACCUAAGAUUACUAAAUUUAUCUGGUCAGUCCUAGCUUUUACCAACUAAUCUUAGGUUUGUCCAGAGCCGGCCACCUAGCUCUUUCCUUACUUGAACAAUAACAUACAAAUGUUCAUUUGUUUCGCUGUUUAAACUGUGUCUAGUUUGUUCAUUUUGAUCAUUUUUAUGGAAGAUAAAAAUAGUACCCUACCCAAAACCCAGUUUGUUUUUCUGUUGCAUUUUGAUUAAAUUUGGACAUACA